rnacentral:rRNA from 1 species
GAUGAACGCUGGCGGCGCGCCUAACACAUGCCAGUCGAACGGAGUCAAGAGGAGCUUGCUUUUCUUGACUUAGUGACGAACGGGUGAGUAACGCGUGAGUAACCUGCCAUGGUGUGGGGGACAACAGUUGGAAACGACUGCUACUAACGCAUAAGCCCACGGCACUGCGUGGGUUUGCGGGAUAAGGAUUUUUUCGCUCUAGGAUGGACUCGCGUCCAAUUAGCUAGUUGGUGAGGUAACGGCCCACCAAGGCGGGGACUGGUAGCCGGGCGGGGAGGUUGAGCCGCCACAAUUGGGCUACGACACGGCCCCGAAUCCUACGGGAGGCAGGAGAGUGGGAUAUAGCACGAUGGAGGAAACCCUGAUGCAGCGACGCCGGGUAGAAGAAGAAGGUUGUCGGAAAGUAAACUCCGUUCGUAAGGGACGAUAAUGACGGUACCUAACGAGAAAGCACCGGCUAACUACGUG